rnacentral:lncRNA from 1 species
ACUGGGGGGGUCACUGGGGGGGACUGGGAGCACUGGGAGGGACUUGGGGUGUCACUGGGCCAAACUGGGAGUCACUGGGCCGCACUGGGGGGGGCCAGGGCCGACGGCCAUGUUCUCCUCCCCCAGGAGCGUCUCCUGCCCGGGCGCCAUGAUGCUGAUGUCACUUCCUGCCCCCCCUCGGCCCCGCCCCCUCAUGCACUACUUCCUCCUGGGGGCCGAGGUCACUUCCUGUCAUGGAUGACAUCACUUCCUCUGGAGCGCAAGCCGCUUCCUGUCCCAAACGGGGUCACUUCCUGUCCGGGGGGCGGGGUCCUGAGGCCCCACCCCUCCAGCCGGUGCCAACUUCCUGUCUUAAAUGACGUCACUUCCUGUCCAGGGGCUGCAGCCCCACCACCACCACCACCCCCGUCCUGGGGGCACCUGGGUCCCCCGGACGCCUGGGCCCCCCCGGACGCCUGGGCCCCUCCCGGACGCCUGGGCCCUUCCCGGACGCCUGGGCCCCUCCCGGACGCCUGGGUCCCUCCCGGACGCCUGGGCCCCCCCGGACGCCUGGGCCCCUCCUGGACCCCUGGGCCCUUCCCGGACGCCUGGGUCCCUCCCGGACGCCUGGGCCCCUGACCUGUGCCAUGGGGGGGAUGGGCUGGAGCCCCCCAAUAAAGCACUUUUUGCACCCAGAAUUUGGCCCCGGCUCGUUGUCACCUUCGCCCGGACGCCUGGGCCCCUCCCAGAUUCCUGGGCCCCUCCCGGACGCCUGGGUCCCUCCCGGACGCCUGGGCCCCUCCCGGACACCAGGGAGGUGCGUGCACAUACGCGAGGCAGUUUUUCCAAAAAUUGG